rnacentral:SRP_RNA from 1 species
GCUGGGCACUGUGGCUUGUGCCUGUAGUCCCAGCUACUCGGGAGGCUGAGGUAAGAGGAUUGCUUGAGCCCAGGAGUUCUGGGCUGUACUGCGCUAUGCUGAUCAGGUGUCUGCACUAAGUUUGGCAUCAAUAUGGUGAUCUCCCAGGAGUAGGGGACCACCAGGUUGCCUAAGGAGGGGUGAGCCAUCCCAGGUCAGAUACAGAGCAGGUCAAAACUCCCGUGCUGAUCAGUAGUGGGAUGGCACCUGUGAAUAGCCACUGCACUCCAGCCUGGGCAACAUAUUGAGACCUUGUCUCU